rnacentral:lncRNA from 1 species
UGGCAGGUAUGGAAAACUUGCUUACGUGAUAGAAAUUUCCUAUAAAUAUUACUGUAAAUUGUUUUCGGAGACACAACUAAAACCGCCUUAUCAGAAGAAGAAGAGAAUUCUUCAUUGUAAAUUGUCAGACAUUAUGAAAGCAAUUGCAAUUUUUGUUCUCUUUACCUUUUGUUUCAUCGUUUGCCAUUGCAAACUAGAGAACCGGUAACUGAUGCAGAGUAUGAAAAAUUUAUAUAAGAGUUUAAAGGAAAAUCGCAUCCAUCUUAAGCAAAAUGCUACACAGUGCAAAGAAGCAAUCCAGGAAACACACAAAGCAAUCGGCGCUAUUGUACAUAAUAACCAGGAAUGCGAGAGAAUUGCUAAUUCAUUUAAUAUUCCUGCUAACAUUGAAGAACAGUUAAAAAAUUGUUUACGUAUUCAACGUAAACCUUCAAAGCAAUCACAUGCUGAAAACCAAAGAAAAUUUGUACACGAAAAAUAACUAUGUAUUUUUAAACGAGCAUAUGAUGAAAUAAUUGUAAAAUUUCUGAGUCAAUAUUUUAAACUUUUGUAUUAGUUUCUAUCAUUUUAAAAAUUACAAAAAUGUACUAUUAUGAAAUAAAAUUCUAUUUCUUUCUUUCUGAG